UGGGGAAUUUUGCACAAUGGGCGCAAGCCUGAUGCAGCCAUGCCGCGUGUAUGAAGAAGGCCUUCGGGUUGUAAAGUACUUUCAGCGGGGAGGAAGGGAGUAAAGUUAAUACCUUUGCUCAUUGACGUUACCCGCAGAAGAAGCACCGGCUAACUCCGUGCCAGCAGCCGCGGUAAUACGGAGGGUGCAAGCGUUAAUCGGAAUUACUGGGCGUAAAGCGCACGCAGGCGGUUUGUUAAGUCAGAUGUGAAAUCCCCGGGCUCAACCUGGGAACUGCAUCUGAAACUGGCAAGCUUGAGUCUCGUAGAGGGGGGUAGAAUUCCAGGUGUAGCGGUGAAAUGGGUAGAGAUCUGGAGGAAAACCGGUGGCGAAGGCGGCCCCCUGGACGAAGACUGACGCUCAGGUGCGAAAGCGUGGGGAGCAAACAGG
rnacentral:rRNA from 1 species